rnacentral:rRNA from 1 species
GCAAGUCGAGCGGCAGCGGGAAAGUAGCUUGCUACUUUUGCCGGCGAGCGGCGGACGGGUGAGUAAUGCCUGGGAAAUUGCCCAGUCGAGGGGGAUAACAGUUGGAAACGACUGCUAAUACCGCAUACGCCCUACGGGGGAAAGCAGGGGACCUUCGGGCCUCUCGCGUCAGGAUAUGCCUAGGUGGGAUUAGCUAGUUGGUGAGGUAAUGGCUCACCAAGGCGACGAUCCCUAGCUGGUCUGAGAGGAUGAUC